GUUUGACUCACUGAUCCAAUCGCAGUGGUUCACAGUUCACUGGAGCAAGGCAAUGGCUUAAGCUUCAGUCUGUUCUGUACUUAAAGCUAUUGUAUGGAUUCAGAAGACUUGGACUUUAGUCAUAAAUCUAUAGAGUCAUAUGGACUACUUUCAUGAUGCUUUGCUUAUGUCUUUGGUGAUUUUUGCAACUUAAGUGAGGUCAGCUGUCAUUGUAUAUUAAAACAACUUGAUUGAAGAUCUUUACAAGUUUGGAGCGACAAGAGUGUGUAAGACCUUGCUGCUGACUGAGACGGAGAUGAAAAGUGGAGACUAGCUGCUCUGCUGUCUCAGCACCUCGCCGAUGUGUGUUUAGGAUACUAAGGGCAAAUACUCUCCCUCUGUGUUGAGCCUGUAUUGAUCAGUGAGUUUGGCGUCUGGUGAAGAGACCACUGUGCCUCUAGGCUGAGAACCCUGUGGAGUCAUCAGUCAUAGCAGAGGACACAACAGCAAACAGGACACAGUAAGCACCCAAACCCUCUGGAGAUGAAUGUCUUGGCUGGGCUGAAAGCCCCCUGGAAAGAGACGGAGAACUACUUGGCACCCUGCAUCUAACUCAGACUUCUUGGAGGGUAUCUCUAUGCUGUGACAGCCUGAAUAUUGUUAACACACAAGACAUCACCUCAAGGACAACUGAGCUACUGCUCUUGGUUUAACCGCCUCAAAAAAGCAUGCACCUGCACAAAACUGAGAGGAAUACCAAUUAAGCAAUUACCAACAAGAAUCAGUAUUUUGGACCGCAGUGCUGUUUGUUUGGAAGUGAACUGAUUGUACCUGUGCAGUGAUGUGGGCAAUUACCUGGUAUUGUUUUUCCUUGUAAUCAUUUUUUGUCUAUCUCUAGCCAAAUGUCUUUGGGCGUUAUGGCAGAAUGCAAACGUAGGCCAUUAAGAGUAUAAAGGCUGGGUGCAGAUCAAGGUCAGUCCAUCAGAGGCAAGAAGAACAUACUGCUGUAUAUAAAUCAGGAAACACAGAAUUUUAAAACAUUUUAUCUUAAUUUUCAUGCUGAGGAGACAGAGGAGCUUUGACACACAUUGUCAAAUGGCAUGUUUGCCACGCAUUGCUGUAUAGAUUCUAAUUUACGAAUGCCCUGCACUUGUUAUUUUAUCCCCUAGCCCCUCCACACAUGUCAAAAUGAAAGAAUGAAAGCAGACAGGCAGGGAGGAAAACAAAAAUUGGUUAACAGCAAGGGGUCAAACUGUUAUUGUAUUAAAACUCUAUGAUGACA
ensembl:lncRNA